UACGAAGGGGCUAGCGUUGUUUGGAAUCACUGGGCGUAAAGGGCGCGUAGGCGGCCGAUCAAGUCGGGGUGAAAGCCUGUGGCUCAACCACAGAAUUGCCUUCGAUACUGGUUGGCUUGAGACCGGAAGAGGUAAGUGGAACUGCGAGUGUAGAGGUGAAAUUCGUAGAUAUUCGCAAGAACACCAGUGGCGAAGGCGGCUUACUGGUCCGGUUCUGACGCUGAGGCGCGAAAGCGUGGGAGCAAACAGG
rnacentral:rRNA from 1 species